rnacentral:rRNA from 1 species
ACAUGCAGUCGAGCGGACAGAAGGGAGCUUGCUCCCGGAUGUUAGCGGCGGACGGGUGAGUAACACGUGGGUAACCUGCCUGUAAGACUGGGAUAACUCCGGGAAACCGGAGCUAAUACCGGAUAGUUCCUUGAACCGCAUGGUUCAAGGAUGAAAGACGGUUUCGGCUGUCACUUACAGAUGGACCCGCGGCGCAUUAGCUAGUUGGUGAGGUAACGGCUCACCAAGGCGACGAUGCGUAGCCGACCUGAGAGGGUGAUCGGCCACACUGGGACUGAGACACGGCCCAGACUCCUACGGGAGGCAGCAGUAGGGAAUCUUCCGCAAUGGACGAAAGUCUGACGGAGCAACGCCGCGUGAGUGAUGAAGGUUUUCGGAUCGUAAAGCUCUGUUGUUAGGGAAGAACAAGUGCAAGAGUAACUGCUUGCACCUUGACGGUACCUAACCAGAAAGCCACGGCUAACUACGUGCCAGCAGCCGCGGUAAUACGUAGGUGGCAAGCGUUGUCCGGAAUUAUUGGGCGUAAAGGGCUCGCAGGCGGUUUCUUAAGUCUGAUGUGAAAGCCCCCGGCUCAACCGGGGAGGGUCAUUGGAAACUGGGAAACUUGAGUGCAGAAGAGGAGAGUGGAAUUCCACGUGUAGCGGUGAAAUGCGUAGAGAUGUGGAGGAACACCAGUGGCGAAGGCGACUCUCUGGUCUGUAACUGACGCUGAGGAGCGAAAGCGUGGGGAGCGAACAGGAUUAGAUACCCUGGUAGUCCACGCCGU